CAAAUUCUUCAGUUUCAAGCUUCCAAUUGUUCAUUUGUAAGCAUCUCACUACCCAUAAAUGAGGAAAAAUGCCAUAUUUGAAGGAUAAAUUGAAUCAAUGUGGCAAUGAACAAGGGACGACCACUAGUUUUAUGUUUGUUUUUAUUAGUACAUGUGAUAUGGCCUGCAUGUAUAAACAGGUAGAAGUGUGAGAAAAUUAUUUGAUAAGUCACGAGGUAAAGACUAUUGGCUUGCAUAAACCAUGCUGAAUCACAUGUUGUAGCUAAAUCUCAAGACAGUAAAAAAUCAAUAGAACUCACAUUAAAUUGUUGAAUUGUUAUGCUCUUCUUGCAAGAUGGGGAGUAUGAUGGUAAGAUCUUAUACUAUAAAAUUAACACAACUGUUACCAAAUUAUGUAUUCGGAAACAAUUUGCUAGUUGUUGUAAGACUAUAGCAAUACUAGCCCUUUUGUGAGUAUCAAACUCACCUGAGCCAAAUUAAAACAUGGAUUUGGUGCUCAAGGCAUACAUACAGUACAAAAAUCAGUAAACAUUCAAAUGUCACCAGAGUUUUCAAACCAACUAGAGUGAAUACAUUCAUUAUCUCAAUGCCAGCCAGCCAAUAAUGAGUACAAAUUUAGGGUGCUUUAAUGCCAGUCACCCAAGUAGCUCCUUUUGUCUUGCCAUGUAGUUGAUCAUUGAAACUAUUUCAGAAUAGCAUGUAUCAAAGUUCUGGGGGGAGAAAAUAGUACUCUAGUAACAGAGUUUUGCAUUUAAAUAAUAAAAUGUGGUCUGGCCACCUUAUGAAUGUAUUCAAUUCAAAAAUAUAGCACAACAUUAAAUGUCGCUAGUUAAGAAGCAUGGACACUUCAAAGAAGGUGUCGUGUGUUUGUGUCGGACACUAACACUCCUCAUACACACCCUGACGUAUGUGUUGAACAUGCAUCCAAAUGUUAUAUUAUUUUUUUAAUCUUUUUAGAACAAGACAAACAUCUGAAACUUGAAAUAACUUUGAAGCUAAUAGUUAAAAUCAAAGUAAUGUAGAUCCCUCCUUCAACUUGUAAUGAAUAUUAAGAAGCAAUAGACAUCAAGCAAUACCAUUGUAACAAAAAUGAUUAUGAAAAUAUAUAGAACACACUGUGAGUUCAAAAAUUCCAAAGAUUAACUUCACUAAAGCCUAAACAAUAGCAUAAGCAAGUGUAAAUGAGGAAAACAAUUGUUCAAAUAAAUGUUUACAAGAACUAUAGUGGGAUAUAAAGCUGCACCCCAUGCAACGUGCACGAAGGAACUAAAAGCUCUCUACAUCUUCACUGGAGUAGAGCCACCCGAGCCUGUCCCAUAUAAAAACCAACCAUCUGAUCUUAUGGAAGUCAAUGACAAGCUUCUGUUUCUCAUGUCCAUAGUUGAAGUGAAGUAGGUAGAACUAUUUCUAUGUAUGUUAUAUGGUAAGGCUAAAUGAAAAGAAAAUAAAAAUAAAAAAAACUCCGCACAAGUUUAGAGACCACAUAAGCAAAGAGAGAUGGGGUCUGUGAACUUGCUAAUAGAAGGAGACCUCAAAACAGCCUGCAAGGAGGAACUACUCAAAGAGAAGAUGCCCACAGCCAACUAAAACAAAGGCAAGAAAUAAUGGCAGUAGUAGAGCAUCAUGGCCUUCAAUAAUUCAUAUAGGAAGUACGUUUCUCUUAUCAUAUCUUUUCCAUUUUAAGUCAUACUCUAUCAAAUGCUUGUGUUUGAUGGCUGAAAAAGCAACUGACUUUCAUUAUAAGUUUGAUUAGUCUCCUGCUCUCUUUUUAAGUUUGUGAUUUAUUUAAAUCUUGUAUUUGCUUGCCUACUGAAGUUCUCUCCUAAAGUUAGAAUUGUUUGAUUAUAUAGGGCAAAAACUGUAUUUACAGGCUUGGAAAGCUUUCCUAAUCAUGCACAGAAUACCAAUGUCAUGUCUGAUGUUCAGGAUGGUUACGGGCUUAUGAUUUCGGAGUUAAUCGGAACUGAAAUAUCCAAUUGUUCUUCUGUACCAGCAGACAUUAGUUCUCUGCACAAUGAGAUGACCCUUAAUAAUGGAGAG